rnacentral:rRNA from 1 species
AAUAUUGCACAAUGGGGGAAACCCUGAUGCAGCGACGCCGCGUGAGCGAAGAAGGCCUUCGGGUCGUAAAGCUAUGUCCUAAGGGCAGAAACGGACGGUACCUUAGGAGGUACCCCCGGCUAACCACGAGCCAGGCGCCGCGGUAAUACGUAGGGGGCGAGCGUGAUCCGGAAUUACUGGGCGUAAAGGGUGCGUAGGCGGUCUUUUAAGCAAUAUGUGGAAGGCUACGGCUUAACCGUAGUUAGCAUUUGAAACUAAAAGGCUUGAGUGCAGGAGAGGAGAGUGGAAUUCCUAGUGUAGCGGUGAAAUGCGUAGAUAUUAGGAGGAACACCAGUGGCGAAGGCGACUCUCUGGACUGCAACUGACGCUGAGGCACGAAAGCGUGGGGAGCAAACAGG